CGAACGGGUGAGUAACGCGUGAGGAACCUGCCUCAAAGAGGGGGGAAACAGUUGGAAACGACUGCUAAUACCGCAUAAGCCCACGGUGCCGCAUGGCACAGAGGGAAAAGGAGCAAUCCGCUUUGAGAUGGCCUCGCGUCCGAUUAGCUAGUUGGUGAGGUAACGGCCCACCAAGGCGACGAUCGGUAGCCGGACUGAGAGGUUGAACGGCCACAUUGGGACUGAGACACGGCCCAG
rnacentral:rRNA from 1 species